CGAAAGCCUGACGGAGCAACGCCGCGUGGGGGAAGAAGGUUCUUGGAUUGUAAACCCCUUUUCUCAGGGAAGAAGUUCUGACGGUACCUGAGGAAUCAGCCUCGGCUAACUCCGUGCCAGCAGCCGCGGUAAUACGGAGGAGGCAAGCGUUAUCCGGAAUCAUUGGGCGUAAAGCGUUCGUAGGUGGCGAUUCAAGUCUGCUGUCAAAGACAGUAGCUCAACCACUGAAAGGCAGUGGAAACUGAAUGGCUAGAGUGCGGUAGGGGCAGAGGGAAUUCCCGGUGUAGCGGUGAAAUGCGUAGAGAUUGGGAAGAACACCGGUGGCGAAAGCGCUCUACUGGGUCGCACCUGACCCUCAGGGACGAAAGCUAAGGUAGCG
rnacentral:rRNA from 1 species